UACGGGAGGCAGCAGUGGGGAAUAUUGCACAAUGGGCGCAAGCCUGAUGCAGCAACGCCGCGUGUGGGAUGACGGCCUUCGGGUUGUAAACCACUUUCAGCGCCGACGAAGCGAAAGUGACGGUAGGCGCAGAAGAAGCACCGGCCAACUACGUGCCAGCAGCCGCGGUGAUACGUAGGGUGCGAGCGUUGUCCGGAAUUAUUGGGCGUAAAGGGCUCGUAGGCGGUCCGUCGCGUCGGAAGUGAAAACUCGGGGCUUAACCCCGAGCCUGCUUCCGAUACGGGCGGACUAGAGGAAUGCAGGGGAGAAUGGAAUUCCUGGUGGAGCGGUGGAAUGCGCAGAUAUCAGGAGGAACACCAGUGGCGAAGGCGGUUCUCUGGGCAUUUCCUGACGCUGAGGAGCGAAAGCGUGGGGAGCAAACAGGCUUAGAUACCCUGGUAGUCCACGCCGUAAACGGUGGGCACUAGGUGUGGGACUCAUUCCACGAGUUCCGUGCCGAAGCUAACGCAUUAAGUGCCCCGCCUGGGGAGUACGGCCGCAAGGCUAAAACUCAAAGGAAUUGACGGGGGCCCGCACAAGCGGCGGAGCAUGCGGAUUAAUUCGAUGCAACGCGAAGAACCUUACCUGGGUUUGACAUAUACCGGAAAGCUGCAGAGAUGUAGCCCCCGCAAGGUCGGUAUACAGGUGGUGCAUGGCUGUCGUCAGCUCGUGUCGUGAGAUGUU
rnacentral:rRNA from 1 species